CCUUCCUUGAUAUGAUCACAGUACAACAGGAUUUGAGCAACUCCCUAAACAGGAUCUGAAUUUCAUUCAUCAUUGGAAAUUUGAGGCGAGUGAUUCACUAGACCAGAUCUAAAUUGAAGCAUCUAUACACUGUAUUCAUACCCGCAAAAACAAAAACGUUUUAGAAAAUUAUCUUCACAGAUCAUGGACAUUCUAAAGUUCUUUGUUUGUAUGCACUGUGUUGUUUGGCAAGCGCAGGAAUUUAUGAUAUUAUCCAAAGUGAAAAUAUUAAACUGAACGGAAAAGCCAAUCUCAGUAUUACAGUACCGAAUAUGCGAAGACCAGUGGUUUGGCAGUGCCAGAAUUAUAAAUAUGAAUGCGACAGGACAUGCGCUAACGGCACUAAUUACCAGGUUAGCCACAGUGGGAAUACUUCUAUGCUCUUAAUCAGAAAAGUAACAAAGGACUGUUUGACUUGGGCGUUUGCAGACGACAAUAUCAACCUUGGAAGAACCAAAUUGACGAUAAACAGUGAUACACCUGAGGCAUCCGAUGAUAUCCAAAUGAAAUCGUUUGCAGGUGGUGCACAAGGAACCAGCAGCCUCAGAACCAAGUCCAUCCUUGUCAUUGGGAUGAUAACAGCCGUCAUCAUUUAUACAUUUUAAGAAAUACCAGUAAUAAUCUCAAGUGCUGGAAGGACACUCCUUUGAUAUUUAAUCCAGUGCUAUGUGGGUAGGAAGCAAGCAUUUUACCACAACCAUGCCUGCCACCUAUAAUUUAAUAAAUAAGAAAUUUUAUAAAUUUGAUUUUGAUGUACACCAGCCUUGUUAUAAACUUUUACUGUUUAAAUUACUGCCACUCGAUUUAUGCUGUCAGCGUCAUCGUCGAAUCAACAUCCAGUUUUCUAAAACCCCUGCUCUGACUUACAUAUGUCUAACUCAGAAAAGCAGGGGAAAAUAUUGGUCAGAAUCUCUGUGGAUGAUGAUGAUGAUGUUGAUGAUUUCUAUUAAAAUUCACUGCAUUUCUGUCAAUUUCAAAAUUAACGAAGAAUUUAAUUAAAAAGCCUUUCCCAUAAUUAAGUUCAGAUUUGGAAUAUAAAUUAAAAAGAACUUUGAAAUGGAAGGUUAUAAUUUUGAUAACUUCUAACUCUCUUGUAAUGAAAUUUCCGUUUUUCUCUUAAAAUAUAUUACCUAUAUUUCAAUAAAGAUUACGAAAAUAA